CUGCCUCUAGCCUUCUUGUAUAUUCACCAUUCAGAGUGAAACAAUAUCAACAUCAGUGUGGAUGUAGCCCAAACAUUGGGGUGAACCACGAUACAUCUUGUGUUCUUUACUUUUUUACAGAUUCACGGUCGAAUUUAUGUUGUUCCAAGAUCCCUUCGGUUUUGUGCAUCAACACUUAUGAAUUCACCCACUUUGCGAUUUGACUAAAAACUUGCAUAUAUAUUGCAAUAUCUUAGUUCCUAUAUAUGCCGAAUCAAAGAUUAAUUUCCUUGGCAGUGUGAGUUUUGUCUCGCCUCUUUAUAAUUAUAAUCCCAAGAUAUACAUAUAUUUUGAUUACAUGUCAUUGUAGCUAGAUUUAGAUCUUAAUCAAGCUAUGUAUAUACAUUACUUGAAAGCAGAUACUGAAUUGCUAACAUUUUAUUCCAGUAAUACAGACAUUCAUCACGGUAUUCACAGCUUCAUAGCCAAAUAUAUAAAACUCUCUCACUCAAUGUCACUCAAGAAACACGUCCAUCAUCACUCUCUCUCUCUCUCUCUCUCUCUCUAUAUAUAUAUAUAUAUAUAUAUAUAUAUAUAUAUAGCGUUUUCACAAGAGAUUAUGCGGCUUCAAAAAGGAUGUGAUCAUCUAGUUAUUCAAGGAUUCCCACCCCUACCACCAGCAUUCCCUCCCUUAAUUAUGUGGAUCGUGACCUUUAUUUGGCCCUGGCUCCUUGUAAUCUGAAAUUGCAUCAAGUGAAAUGAGCAGUUUUCUCCCACCUUUUGUCAUCUGCUGAUUAACCACCUUAUAAACAUGAUUAAGAACAAGCUCAAACUAAAUCACCAAAUCAUGCAGUUUGUUUGCAUGGACGUUGACGAAAUAUACCAUAUAUAUUUUAAGGGAGACUUUGGAUGCGGUCCCGAACUAUGAAUAUUAUUUGACUAAAACCUUGUUGAUUUUCAAUUUUUUAUCUAAGUCCCUGAAAUUAAUGUGAUAAUUUAUUUCUAUGUACGUUACUAUAUUUUUUAAAUUAAAAAUUGAAAUUUAUAUUUUGUUUAUAUUAAUGAGAUUUUAAAUAAAAAAACAUAAUUUGUGGGAUUAAAAAUAUUAAAAUAUAAAUAUACUAUGGUGUGUGUGUGUGUGUAUAAACAUGGGUACGUUCAUCAAAAUUAACCAAAAAAUUAUUGUAUCAAAACAUGAGUACAUUCUUCAAAAUCACAAAAAAAAAAUAAAAAAUAUUAGGCUUAAUAAUAUUAGUAAAUUUCUUCGAUUAAACUUAACAUGGAUACAUUCUCAAAUCAAAGAAAAAAGAAUGUACCCAUAUAAGUUUAAAAAUGGAUUAGAAAAAAAUUGAAUAGAUUUUAUAUAUAAAAAAGUGGUACAUUUUACUUAUAACAAAUUGGUAUAUUUAAGAAUGAGUACAUUUUAACAUUAAAAAUUUGAAAAAAUUACAUGAAUUGGUACAUAUAAUUAGCAUGGGUACAUUUAGAAAAAAUAAAAAUGGGUACAAAUACAAAUAAAACUUUAAAAAAUAUGGGCAUAAAAAGAAAUUAAUAUAUGGGUACAAAUUAAAACUAAAAAGAAAAUUGGUACAAAUUAAAAAUGGGUACAAACUAAAAAUAAAAAUAAAAAUAUAUGAUAAAAAUUUUAACUAUAAAUAUAAUACUAAUUGUAACAUUUUUAACAUUAAAUGAAUAUAUUUAGAAAUAAAAAAAUAUUUUAUUAUUGAAAUAAUUAAUAAUGUUAUUAAUACCAAGGACCUUGAUCAAAAAUUGAAAAGGAAUAAGGUUUUAAUCAAUGGAGUAGCAAAAGCAAGGAUGAGAACCUAAUUUCUCCAUAUUUAUUUUAAUUACCUCAUGACCACUUGAAGAAGUGAGCUCCAGUUCAUCCUUGAAGCUGUCAGCUCUUCCUACAAAUUAAUGAAGAGAAAAGGGUUUCAAGUAUUUUCUAGACUCAGCUUCAGAAAACUUGGAGCCAAUGGAAUUUGCAACCUUAAAAAUAUUACCUGAAACCGAAAAGUUAAAGAGCAAGAGGAGGAAGAUGAAAAUCUUUACUUGAGGAAGCAUCUAAGGGUUUAUAUUUUCUUUCCUUAGCUUAUUGCUGUUGUAGCUAGUUCAGUGUUUGGAGGAGAAGUGCAGAACUCUUGGUUUUUAUAAUUGUGAGUGCGAGUAAAUGGAGCCAACAGAGAUGUAAAGUCAUAAUGACCCUUACACAAAGCUUCUCUAGUAGCAAUUUUUCAGUGUAUCAUGUCGUCCAUCUUUAUUAUAACAUGUAAUGAAGUAAACUACAUGAUUUAUGUUUUUAGUACCCAUUAAAUUUUACUUUUGUGAUGAUUUUCAAAAUUACUUACCAAACACAAAAGAUAUGAUUCUGGAAAUAUACAAUACACCUUAUCCCCCACCUCAAAGUCAACUCCACUCAAAUUCCUUAACAUCAAAAGCUUUGCUUCUCCUUUUAUGUGUCGCACAAUGCAUUAGGUGGAAUGUGUGGGAGUGGGACAAUACAACAUAACUUGUGGGUUUUGUUCACCUUUUGGAACUCACUUGCGCUUUUGAUCUAUCUAACUAUUCUAUAAGCUUUUAGCUUUAAUUUGUUGGUCGCUUUCAGAUGUUAGGUCUCAUUCCAUACAUAUAUCUAGUUUACCUUGUGGCAGUUAGUUUAUUUCACGAGCACUAUUUGAUAUAUAUAG
rnacentral:lncRNA from 1 species